CUCGACCCUUGACCUUGUAAAAUGGAUGUCCUGAAAAUUUUGAUAAAUCUAAAUAAAUAAAGAAAUCAAAAUAUGUGAUUGUGUGUUUGCAGCUUGAAUGCUUGAAGUAACACAUCAAGAACUGGAAGAGCAUAAACCAAUGCAUUUGAUGGCGUAACCAACAGUAGUCAUGGCAACUGCUAUCAACCAACCAGACUCCUUAUGGGAUAUAUCUCUUCUUUAUUGUGUUAGAAAUCUGCAGACAUUUUGUGUCCAAGAACUUGCAGUUACAAACAAUGAUCAAACAGUCUAUAACUGGAAAUUACGAGAGGGCUUAACAUUGCCGCUUGAAGUAUGCGAGAGCUUGUUGACAGCUUUCCUAGCCAAUCACUAUAGAGAACCCGAUGAACCUGAUUAUUACGAUUACAAAUUGAACAGUUUUCUCCACAUAUUUCAAGAUACAUUACGUACUAGACUUAAAAGAGUUAACUUGUCAAGGAUGCAAGUUGUAGACACUGCUCUGGAGUGGAUACUCUCACAUAAGCUUACUGAGCUCGAUAUAUCGGAUAACUCCGCCUUAAGGAACUUGUCGAUGCAUUGUAUUAACACUUAUGGCGACAACCUAACCAAACUAAAUAUUGGGAAUACCACAGUCAUAUUUAACGAUCUGGAUCCUGUGCAGUUGGAUGAAAAUGACUCUAGUGCUAUUAAACCACCAUGUCAUUGUCUCCCUAUACCAAAAACUUCAUCUAUUCAAGAUUAUUUGCUCUCUCGUGACAAAUGUGCCGAUCACAAACAUGAGAGUCAGCGAGAUCCAUUAUUCAUGCGGGAAUAUGUGUUUGACUUGCCUAACCUUAGAUGGUUAUCAAUACAUGAUUUGAGUCAUAAUGCUUAUGACAUGAUCUUAACUUUAUUAAAACCUUUGACUAAAUUAACAUAUUUGGAUCUAUCAGGGUGUGGUGUAGAUGCUGAAUUAUUGAUGGGUGUCCAGAGUUAUGCCCAUAUUAGGUCGUUAACACUCUAUGAUGUACAGAUAAGUAAUCUGGAGGAUACAUUGAUAGCUAUAGGCAAACUUAAAACAUUGAGGCACCUUGACAUCAGCCAAGGCAAGGAGCAGCAUGUCCUCUAUGAUGAGCCUGAGCAACGUCUGAGAUAUAUUGUCAACGCUCUCCCUAACCUGGUAUCCCUUGACAUAUCUGGCACAAACCUGGCUGGGAUGGAGCCCAACGAUUACCUCACUAAGACUCUGAAAUUUGAAGAAGAAAGGCAACAGUAUCCACACUGUCCUAUCUAUGGCCUCGAGGGUAGAUCAUUUGAGUUCCUAGGCCUUCUCUACUGUACAACUGAGCCUUGCAACAGGGAAAACAUACCUGCUAAAAAGGUAACUGGUGAUAAAACAGAGGAACAAGUAUUAGUCUCCAUCCAGGCAAACAUAGAAAAAACAGAGCUUCUGAUUCGCUCCCUGAAUCACCUGUUUAGAAUAUUCCGCUACUCCAUCUGUAAAAGUCCCGCUGUUGCUUUAAAGGGUAUUCUCACUGCUAUGAAGAAGCAUGUCUUCGACAGAUCUGUGCAAAUAUCUGGCAGUGCCUCAUUGUUCUACAUCGUAAAGGGGAAAGAAAGGUCCAUGCUAAAUGUCGCCACCAGACGAGAUAUCAUAACAACAAUACUAGCUGGAAUGGAAAGCCACAUGGAUGAGGCCACGAUGAUGCGUAAUGGGUGCCUCACAUUGUGCCACUUUAAGAUUCCCCAAGAUGUGAUAUAUGAAUAUCCAAGAGUGAUCAAAGUCCUACUGAACAUGAUCUCUCCCCCAGACCAAGAGGAGUUUGUGCAGAGAAUUGGUAUUCACCUGUUGAACAGCUUAGCCUGCCAGGUGGAUGGUAAAGAGAAGCAGUUGGUUGGGGACUAUGGUGCAAUAGAGACAAUGUUAGAGACUGUGAGAAACAGACUAAGACAGAACAUCUGUGAUGAGGUGAUGGAAAUAGCAUGGAGUACAAUGUGGAAUGUAACUGAUGAGACGGCUAUCAACUGCGAACGUUUCAUUGCAGACAAAGGCUUGGAUCUCUUUCUGCAGUGCCUCGAGACUUUUCCUGAGAAGCCAGAGCUAUUGAGGAACAUGAUGGGGUUAAUGGGUAAUGUAGCAGAGGUCCCAUACCUUAGAAAGUAUCUCAUCACCCCACAGUACAUCUCAGUAUUCAGUGAGUUACUGAUGUCAAAAAGUGACGGCAUUGAAGUCAGUUACAAUGCUGCAGGGGUGCUAUCCCAUAUUGCAUCUGAUGGCCCUAAAGUCUGGACAAUAUCCUCACCAACUCGUAAAGAAGUUCUACAGAAUCUCUCAACAGCAAUUGAAAAAUGGGACUUAGAUACUAAGAGGAAUAUCAAUUACAGGUCAUUUGCGCCAAUCUUAAGACUCCUUCCAAUCCAUGAGACUCCUGAGGUUCAACACUGGGCAAUAUGGGCAUUGUGCAAUCUAACAAGAGUAUAUCCUAACAAAUAUUGUCAACUGUUGGUCAAUGAGAAUGGUAUUGAACUUAUAGAACAAGUUGCUUUAGACCAACGACCAUACCCACGGAUACGUGAAUUGUCAUCAAUGGUUUUAGAGUGUUGUCGAAAUUGGAAGAUAGGUGGCGCCAGAGAUGAUAAUGAUAUUAGGGACGAUAAUGACCCAAGUAAUAUGGAAGGUUGAAUAUUUGCAGUACUUUGUGAACUUAGUUGAUGAAAUGGCCUUUUUGAUAAGAGCCUCAACAUUAUUUUAUGCUGUUAGACUAUGUAUUUAAGAGUACAAAAUAAAAACCAUGUAAUAUAUGAAUGAUGAAAUUUGGAACAUGUCACCCGCAAAUGCCACAUGAAAUCUGAAAGAAACCAUUAAUGAAAACCAUUGUGAUUUGAAAAAUGGCAGACCACCAAUGGAAAACUCUGGAUUGUUAAGAGUUGAGGGAGGUGGACUUAGAAUAAAAUGUAUAGUGUUUUUCCUCAACAAUAUUUGGAGACAUUAUUUUAUUACAAACUAACCAAUACCUAUUGUUCACUGUAUAUGACUUAGCAGGUGUAUGAUUCAUUUUAUUAUUGGCUCAUAUUAUUGUAUUGUGUUGUAAGACACAGUUAACACAGGGAGUGUACCAAAUUA
rnacentral:misc_RNA from 1 species